rnacentral:lncRNA from 1 species
AUGAGCCACAUUCUCUCCUUGCUGCACGCCAGCCAUGGUCAGUGCUGGCAUGGAGGACUUGUAGCCAAGGUUUCCACCAAAGCUUCUUUCUUGGUUUUGUGGCUAUUUAGAUAUCCUACCGCUUGGCGUUGUGAAGGCCAACAGCCGUUUUCAAGCAUAAUAUCAGCUUCCAGAGAUGAUGUCCGUAUUAGCCUCUUCCAAAAUGGCUAGUUAUCUUCAAAAGGUACGUGCUAGUAACUAUUCACAUGCUGAAACAGAGAGACAGCUUGGUGGUGCCCGACGUGCUGCCCUGUGGGGCAUGGGGAGCCACCGGCCUCCCGGCA